rnacentral:rRNA from 1 species
GACAGAGGAUGCAAGCGUUAUCCGGAAUGAUUGGGCGUAAAGCGUCUGUAGGUGGCUUUUUAAGUCUGCCGUCAAAUCCCAGGGCUCAACCCUGGACAGGCGGUGGAAACUACCAAGCUGGAGUACGGUAGGGGAGAGUGGAAUUCCUGGUGUAGCGGUGAAAUGCGCAGAUAUCAGGAAGAACACCGAUGGCGAAAGCAGCUCUCUGGGACGGUACUGACGCUGAGGCGCGAAAGCGUGGGGAGCGAACAGG